rnacentral:misc_RNA from 1 species
GAUGAAGAACGUAGCAAAAUGCGAUAAGUAAUGUGAAUUGCAGAAUUCAGUGAAUCAUCGAAUCUUUGAACGCACAUUGCGCCCGCUGGUAUUCCGGCGGGCAUGCCUGUUCGAGCGUCAUUUCAACCCUCAAGCCCCCGGGUUUGGUGUUGGGGAUCGGCUCUGCCCUUCUGGGCGGUGCCGCCCCCGAAAUACAUUGGCGGUCUCGCUGCAGCCUCCAUUGCGUAGUAGCUAACACCUCGCAACUGGAACGCGGCGCGGCCAUGCCGUAAAACCCCAACUUCUGAAUGUUGACCUCGGAUCAGGUAGGAAUACCCGCUGAACUUAAGCAUAUCAAUAAGCGGAGA